AGAGAGAGACAUGCGCGCAUAUCAAUAAGCGGAGGAAAAGAAACUAACAAGGAUUCCCUUAGUAACGGCGAGUGAAGCGGGAAGAGCUCAAAUUUGAAAUCUUCAAGGUUUUACCUUGACGAAUUGUAGUUUAAAGAAGUGUUUUCUGCUGAAGUUUUGGUAAAAGUUCUUUGGAAUAGGACAUCAUAGAGGGUGAGAAUCCCGUAUUUGACCAUUAUUUUCAGCUUUGUGAUACACUUUCAAAGAGUCGGAUUGUUUGGGAAUGCAGUCCAAAAUGGGUGGUAAAUUUCAUCUAAAGCUAAAUAUUGGCGAGAGACCGAUAGCGAACAAGUACCGUGAGGGAAAGAUGAAAAGAACUUUGAAAAGAGAGUUAAACAGUACGUGAAAUUGUCAAAAGGGGAAGCGUUUGACACCAGUGUUGUUUUCUCGAAAAUCAAUUAAAAAUGGCUCGAUUUUGUAUUGUUGAGACCUUAAAAGCUCACUGUACAUUUUUCGUGUCUUUUUUAAUGCACUUUUCGUUUAACAAGUCAACAUCAGUUUCUUUUGUUGUAAAAGGGUCAUUGGAAGGUGGCUUUCUUUUCGGAGAAAGUGUUUAUAGCCUUUGGCCUCUGCAAUCGGAGAGACUGAGGUCUGCAGCGUAGACUCUUCGGGGUUAGAUACAUUUGUGCUAAGUUAUAGCUUUUUAUAGACAACUUGUUGACUAUAAUUAGUCUUGUAGCUUACUCGCUUAUGCUAUUUUACCUACGCUUAGGAUGUUGAAGAUGUAGCACAUCAU
rnacentral:rRNA from 1 species